rnacentral:rRNA from 1 species
CUACGGGUCGCUGCAGUGGGGAAUAUUGGACAAUGGGGGAAACCCUGAUCCAGCAAUGCCGCGUGUGUGAAGAAGGCCUGCGGGUUGUAAAGCACUUUCGGUUGGGAGGACUGCUUCUAGCACUAAUAUUGUUGGAAGUUGACGUUACCUUCAGAAGAAGCACCGGCUAACUCCGUGCCGGCAGCCGCGGUAAUACGGAGGGUGCAAGCGUUAAUCGGAAUUACUGGGCGUAAAGCGCGCGUAGGCGGCUAGAUCAGUCGGGUGUGAAAGCCCCGGGCUUAACCUGGGAACUGCAUCCGAUACUGUCUAGCUGGAGUACAGGAGAGGAGAGUGGAAUUCCACAUGUAGCGGUGAAAUGCGUAGAUAUGUGGAGGAACACCAAUGGCGAAGGCAGCUCUCUGGCCUGAUACUGACGCUGAGGUGCGAAGGCGUGGGGAGCAAACAGGAUUAGAUACCCGAGUAGUC